rnacentral:lncRNA from 1 species
UGGUUGUGAGCCACCAUGUGGUUGCUGGGAAUUGAACUCAGGACCUCUGGAAGAGCAGUCAGUGCUCUUAACCACUGAGCCAUCCCUCAGUUCUUUUUGGCAAAUGCUUUCCUCUGCCUAUAGCUGAAAAUGUUUUAUCUAUGCUUUCUCUAACAGUUUCAAAGCUUCUGGAUUUAGAUUAAGUUUUUUGGACUUGUUGAGUUGGUAAUUUGCACACACACACACACACACACACACAGGGAGAGAGAGAGAGAGAGAGAGAGAGAGAGAGAGAGAGAGAGAGAGAGAGAGAGAGAGAGAGAGAGGACUCCACUUUUGUUUUUCUAUAUACGCAAACAGUUUUCCUAGCAUCAUUUGUAAAGGAGGUUAUUUUACUACAAUUAUGUUUUUAAUAGUGCUAUCAAAAUUAGGUCACUAUAACUGUGAAAAUUUAUUUCCACAUCUCCUAUCCUAUUCCAUUUAUUUACAUAGCUGCUGUUUUUGUUGCUAAGGCUCCAUAGUAUAAUUUGAGAUCAGAUAUUGUGAUACCUCUAGCACCUACCUUCUGCUAAGGGUUGCUUUGGCUUUUCAGGGUGUUGGUUUCAGUUUGAAUUGUAGGGUUUGUCUUCUGGUUCUACGAAAAAUGUUGUUGGCACUUUGAUGGAGACUGCAUUGUCUCUAGACUGGUUAAAGUUCUGUAGCUAUUUUUCCCAAUAUAAACUUGUUGUAAUCCGUAAACACAAGAGGCCAUUCCUUCUUCUAGUGUCUUCUUUGUCCAUCCCAUUUCUUUCUUGGUAAGCUUGUUUGGGAAUAUCAAAGCUACUAACUUCUAACAUAUGCAAGUCUCUCUGUUAAAAAGUGUCAGCAUUGAAGUCCUUUGAGUAAAUAUCCAUAAAUGGUACCGCCUGGUCAUAUGCUAGAUCUAUUUUGUUUUAUUUGUGACAUCUCCAUGUCAGCUUCCAUAGUGACUGACCUAGAUUUCGUUCUCACAGGCACUGUGUGAAGAUUGCUUCUUAUCUCCUUACUCAUUAACUCGUGUCAUUUAUGUUUAUUGACAACUGCGUUCUGACCAGUGGAGGGGCAUGGAAACUCAGUGUGGUUCUGAGUUGUGUAUUCUUGACAGAAAUCUUCUGUCAGAUAUGAGGCUAGCAGCUAGCAGCACUUUCUUCCAUGCUGUACACUGUCUCUUCAUUCAACUGUUUCUUUUUCUGCACAGAAAACUUCAGUUUCAUCAAGUCCUGUUUGUGAAUUGUCAACACUGUUUCCUGAGCAACUAGAGUCCUUCCAGAAGGUUUUUGUCUAUGCCCGAAUUUUCCCGUCUUUUUCCUAAAUUUCCCUUUUAAUAGUUUCAGAGUUUUGGGUCUUACAUUAAGGUCUUUGGUCCACUUGGAUUCGGCAUGUGGAAAGGCUGAGACAUUAUUCAACACGUGGCUGUAUACGUUCCCCCAGGAUCGUUUGCUGGUGAUAUCCUUGUCCACAAGGUGUAUUUUUGGUAUCUUGACAAAUAUUCAUGUAGAUGUAGUUGCAUGGUUUAUAUCUGGGUCCUCUGUUCUAUUCUAUUUCAUUGCUUGCAUGACAGGUUUUAUGCAAACAUCACAUUUCUGUUGCUAUGGCCCUGUACUAUAGCUGAAACCAAGUGUGAAUUUACCUUCAUUGUUAUUCUUUUCGGUCAGAAUUGUUUGCACUAUCCAGUAUCUUCUGUGGCUC